AUUGAACGCUGGCGGCAUGCUUUACACAUGCAAGUCGAACGGCAGCACGGACUUCGGUCUGGUGGCGAGUGGCGAACGGGUGAGUAAUACAUCGGAACGUGCCCAGUUGUGGGGGAUAACUACUCGAAAGAGUAGCUAAUACAGAAUGAGAACUGAGGUUGAAAGCAGGAGAUCGUAAGACCUUGCGCAACUGGAGCGGCCGAUAGAAGAUUAGGUAGUUGGUGGGAUAAAAGGUUACCAAGCCGAAGAUCUGUAGCUGGUCUGAGAGGACGACCAGCCACACUGGGACUGAGACACGGCCCAGACUCCUAAGGGAGGGAGCAGGGGGGAAUUUUGGACAAUGGGCGAAAGCCUGAUCCAGCAAUGCCGCGUGCAGGAUGAAGGCCUUCGGGUUGUAAACUGCUUUUGUACGGAACGAAAAGCUUCGGGUUAAUACCCUGGAGUCAUGACGGUACCGUAAGAAUAAGCACCGGCUAACUACGUGCCAGCCGCCGCCGUAAUAC
rnacentral:rRNA from 1 species